AAUUGAGUAAGUUACCCGACACACAUAACGCUAAUCUUGCGGCCUCAUGGGAAAUCUGCCUCUCUGCCUUAGCAACAACCAACAAGUGGCAGCAAGAGGGAAGGACACGCCACAAGAAGCACCUGGAAUAUUCCCUGCAAACUCUGCACCAACACCACUGAGGGAAAGAAGCUGAACGAAGAUAACAAAACAGCAGCAAGACACCUCCAUUGUUUGGGAGGGGCUGGGCGGCAUCUGGCCACCCUGCGAGCCCUGGGACAGGGUGCGGGAGCGAGAGCGGGACCCAUCCAUGGAGUAGGAGGACGAGAGGGAGGUGGUGCGAGAGCGGGACAGGCGGGUCAUGCAAGAUGAAGCCACUGUGGAUAAAUGGAUAGAAAGAUGUGGAUAGACCAAUUAGAAAUCAAUGCAAACACUAUGCAACAUCUAAAAUGAUAAGGCAGGUAGUUUUUUAACAUUAAUGGAGCUCUAAAACACAUAUGGAUUAAGCUAUAUCAGGCUUUGGCUACACAGACAAUACUUGUUAAUAGGAUCAAUUAAUUGUUAGUUUUGGUCUUUUCAUGGGACUUGAUAAGGCUGGUGAUACACAAAAUGCUUGUUUUGAGCAAGACUGCACACAACCGGCAAGAAUAGGUGGUUUAACAUAUACUAUGCAUGUGAUGAAAUCCUACAAUGGAGCACUUUGGCAAUUAUUACCUUAUGUAUCACUGUAUGUGUAAUAUGUACGUAAAUUCUUUUACUGGAUGAAGUGAACUUACUGUAGCCCAUUCCCUGGAUGAAAUACUUGAACGCCUCAGUCAGUUUAGCAGGCUGCAAAAACAUUGAAAAGAAAUGGUGUUUUAUAUUCCAUCUAUACAAUUACUCAUUUUUACAUUAGCUUUAACAUCCAUGUUGUAAAUAUCAGAAUCAGAAACACUUUAUUGUAUACUGAAUAUUACAACUGGGGAUAUUGCACAUUAAAUAAUAUUUACAAAA